CUGUUAUCAAGAAAGGUGGAGGGAUUGGACCCUGCGAAGCCUUAGCAACCCUCGACUUCCGAGAAGGUGCUACAUUCUACCCUUAUCCUGAAUCGUUAUCGGGAAGGUACGG
rnacentral:ncRNA from 1 species